rnacentral:rRNA from 1 species
GUUUGAUCAUGGCUCAGGACGAACGCUGGCGGCGCGCCUAACACAUGCAAGUCGAACGGAGCUUACAGGCGGAAGUUUUCGGAUGGAAGCUUGUAAACUUAGUGGCGGACGGGUGAGUAACACGUGAGCAACCUGCCUAUCAGAGGGGGAUAACGAUUGGAAACGAUCGCUAAUACCGCAUGACAUAGCGGAACCGCAUGGUUCUGCUAUCAAAGAUUUUAUCGCUGAUAGAUGGGCUCGCGUCCGAUUAGAUAGUUGGUGGGGUAACGGCCUACCAAGUCGACGAUCGGUAGCCGGACUGAGAGGUCGAACGGCCACAUUGGGACUGAGACACGGCCCAGACUCCUACGGGAGGCAGCAGUGGGGGAUAUUGCACAAUGGGGGAAACCCUGAUGCAGCGACGCCGCGUGAGGGAAGACGGUCCUCUGGAUUGUAAACCUCUGUCUUCGGGGACGAAACGAGACGGUACCCGAGGAGGAAGCCACGGCUAACUACGUGCCAGCAGCCGCGGUAAUACGUAGGUGGCAAGCGUUGUCCGGAAUUACUGGGUGUAAAGGGAGCGUAGGCGGGCAGGCAAGUCAGGCGUGAAAUAUAUCGGCUCAACCGGUAACGGCGCUUGAAACUGCAGGUC